rnacentral:miRNA from 1 species
GAGAAAGAGAGCGAGGAAAAAUGGGAGGGGCGAAAAAGAAAUAGCUAUUUCUUUCUCGCCCCUCCCAUUUUUCCUCGCUCUCUUUCUCU